AGUGAACGCUGGCGGUAGGCCUAACACAUGCAAGUCGAACGGCAGCACAGUAAGAGCUUGCUCUUACGGGUGGCGAGUGGCGGACGGGUGAGGAAUACAUCGGAAUCUACUUUUUCGUGGGGGAUAACGUAGGGAAACUUACGCUAAUACCGCAUACGACCUACGGGUGAAAGCAGGGGAUCUUCGGACCUUGCGCGAUUGAAUGAGCCGAUGUCGGAUUAGCUAGUUGGCGGGGUAAAGGCCCACCAAGGCGACGAUCCGUAGCUAGUCUGAGAGGAUGAUCAGCCACACUGGAACUGAGACACGGUCCAGACUCCUACGGGAGGCAGCAGUGGGGAAUAUUGGACAAUGGGCGCAAGCCUGAUCCAGCCAUACCGCGUGGGUGAAGAAGGCCUUCGGGUUGUAAAGCCCUUUUGUUGGGAAAGAAAAGCAGCAGGUUAAUACCCCGCUGUUCUGACGGUACCCAAAGAAUAAACACCGGCUAACUUCGU
rnacentral:rRNA from 1 species